rnacentral:rRNA from 1 species
CUACGGGCUGCAGCAGUGAGGAAUAUUGCACAAUGGGGGGAACCCUGAUGCAGCAACGCCGCGUGGAGGAUGACACAUUUCGGUGUGUAAACUCCUUUUAUAUGUCAAGAAAAUGACGGUAGCAUAUGAAUAAGCACCGGCUAACUCCGUGCCAGCAGCCGCGGUAAUACGGAGGGUGCAAGCGUUACUCGGAAUCACUGGGCGUAAAGGACGCGUAGGCGGGUUGGAAAGUCAGGUGUGAAAUCCUACAGCUUAACUGUAGAACUGCACUUGAAACUUCUAAUCUAGAGUAUGGGAGGGGGAGAUGGAAUUAGUGGUGUAGGGGUAAAAUCCGUAGAUAUCACUAGGAAUACCUAAAGCGAAGGCGAUCUCCUGGAACAUUACUGACGCUAAGGCGUGAAAGCGUGGGGAGCAAACAGGAUUAGAUACCCCGGUAGUC